UACGUAGGUGGCAAGCGUUAUCCGGAAUUAUUGGGCGUAAAGCGAGCGCAGGCGGUUCCUUAAGUCUGAUGUGAAAGCCCACGGCUUAACCGUGGAGGGUCAUUGGAAACUGGUCGACUUGAGUGCAGAAGAGGGAAGUGGAAUUCCAUGUGUAGCGGUGAAAUGCGUAGAGAUAUGGAGGAACACCAGUGGCGAAGGCGGCUUCCUGGUCUGUAACUGACACUGAGGCGCGAAAGCGUGGGGAGCAAACAGGAUUAGAUACCCGGGUA
rnacentral:rRNA from 1 species